AAAACAUUGUCUCAUGAAUAAAAUAAGAGAUAAUACCUGCCCAGUGACACACGUUCAACGGCCGCGGUAUCCUAACCGUGCAAAGGUAGCAUAAUCACUUGCCUAUUAAUUGUAGGCUAGAAUGAAGGGGUUAACGAAAUAAAGACUGUCUCAAUUAAUUACCUAAAAAUUAUUUUCUAUCUGAAGAAAGAUAGAUUAACUCGAAGGACAAGAAGACCCUAUAGAGCUUAAUUUUAACUAUAGAACCACUCUAUAAAAGUAUUCGGUUGGGGCGACCCAGGGCUAAAUAAUCACCCACUUUAUAAAAGAUAUAUUAAUCAAUUUAGUGACCCUUAAAGAUCACAAAACCAAGCUACCUUAGGGAUAACAGGCUAAUCCCACUUAAGAGUCCUUAUCAACAGUGGGGAUUGGCACCUCGAUGUUGGCUUAGGGUAUCUAUAUAGCGCAAAAGUUAUAUAAAGAUGGUUUGUUCAACCAAUGACACCCUACGUGAUC
rnacentral:rRNA from 1 species